GAGCUAUUCAGCACAUCUGCACUCACGGGGACAAAGGGCUAUUAGAUGCACUCCACGUUAUUUAUUUUGCAAUUGAGAUUUUUCUCCCCACCACCACCUAAUGGAGUUGAGCCACUUUAAAACACACACAGAGCUCAAUCAAUUUCUUUUGUAGGUUUCAAGAGAAGCUUUAUUUCAGUUCAGAAACACAGUAACAGCUGGGGAAGCUAUUCAUUCCCAAGGCAAAGAACAAAGACUUGAGAUUAUUUAUAGUGUGGGAGAAAGGGAGAGAAAAAUGGGGAGAAUGGAGAUAAUUCAGACAGGGGAGGGGGAAGUAGUGGCUGGGAUAGCCAGAUCAGCGCUAACACUCUAGUUUUGUUUUUCCCCUUCAACGGGGAAGUUUUUUUUCAGCUUUGCUUCAGUGGUCUGCUCCCCUGGCCUAUCCUUUCCUUCAGCUCAUCAUGGACCUACCUAUGCCAAAAGCCCGCCUUCUCUCUGUAGAAUCUGAAGGGCCCAUUACUGCUCCCAUCCCAGAGUCACAUUCUUACUGCCCACUAUCCAGGAGCUUCACCCUGCUCUGCAAGGAAAUACCUUCCCGACCCGAGCCUCGGUUUCUUCAGUAGACUCGGGGCAUGAUGGCGCUUACUUCACACACCUGCAAUAGCUCCAUGACAGACUCCAAAUAAAUCGGUUACUUCGUGUUCUCUGUUGUUCCUGUGGCACAGAAAACCUCAUAACUCUUCACUUUUUAGCUGAGGAGUGAAAGAAUCCACAAGUGUCUCACAACUAUGAAAGAUGGUUGCUCUGAAGACAAGACAUGGAGAACUUUCUGCCUGUCCGAAGCAGAACGGAGGUUUGCAAAGAUGUGAGAGUUUCCCUCUUCUUCCUUCAAAGAUGGUUUGUGCCUCCUCCCUUGUGGACAGCCCUUUACUCACCCAGAGACAGCACCAGAGGAAGCUGUAGUGACUCUGCUAUAUCUUCCCUUGAGCAUCUCUCCUUCAGUUUCUCCCCCCUCCCCCUCCCCCUCCCCCACUCUCUGUACACCUGGAGUCCAGAGAUCAACAUUGGAUAGCAUCUCUGAUCUCUCAACCUUAUUUUUCAAAACAGGGUCUCCUAGAACCUGCAGUUCACUGGCCCGCUAGUCUGACAGAACAGAAAUUCUCCUGUUUCUGCUUCUCCCCAGUGGCUUAAUAAGGGCACCUCUCUGCCCAA